rnacentral:rRNA from 1 species
AGUGAACGCUGGCGGUAGGCCUAACACAUGCAAGUCGAACGGCAGCACAGUAAGAGCUUGCUCUUACGGGUGGCGAGUGGCGGACGGGUGAGGAAUACAUCGGAAUCUACUUUUUCGUGGGGGACAACGUAGGGAAACUUACGCUAAUACCGCAUACGACCUACGGGUGAAAGCAGGGGAUCUUCGGACCUUUCGCGAUUGAAUGAGCCGAUGUCGGAUUAGCUAGUUGGCGGGGUAAAGGCCCACCAAGGCGACGAUCCGUAGCUGGUCUGAGAGGAUGAUCAGCCACACUGGAACUGAGACACGGUCCAGACUCCUACGGGAGGCAGCAGUGGGGAAUAUUGGACAAUGGGCGCAAGCCUGAUCCAGCCAUACCGCGUGGGUGAAGAAGGCCUUCGGGUUGUAAAGCCCUUUUGUUGGGAAAGAAAAGCAGCAGGUUAAUACCCCGCUGUUCUGACGGUACCCAAAGAGUAAGCACCGGCUAACUUCGUG